GCUUUCGUGGUGUAGUGGUCAGCACGCUCGACGCGUAACCGAGAGGUCCGUGGUUCAAUUCCCGGCGAAGGCU
rnacentral:tRNA from 1 species